UAUUGCACUCGUCCCGGCCUGAC
rnacentral:miRNA from 1 species